GGACUGCUGGGGACCGGGCGCUCCCCUGUCUGUCCCGAACAGCUGUCGGCAUCGCGCCCCCCGAAGCCGCCAGGUGCCGGGAGCUGCCGGAGAGAGACCGCCGCGAUGCUCCGGGGCCGGGCGCCACCUACCGCCGCCCGAGCCGCGCUCCUCUCCUGUAAGCCCACACGAGCGAGAGCUACUGGGAAAAGGACUACUUCUUCCCUUUUACAUGACUGGACAAGAGGCUGUGGGCACAAACUGAAACACAGGAGGAUUACUGUGAGCACCAGAAGCGCUUCUGUGCUGUGUGGGUGAUGGAGCUGUGGCACAGUUUGCCCAGAGUCUGUGGGGUCUCCUCCUUGGACACCUCCCAAAGUCACCUGGUGGUGCCGUCCACCCUGACCUGGGUAUCCCUGCUUGAGUAGAGGCUGAACCUGAUGGAACCAGAGGUCUCUGUCCACCUCAGA